UACGGAGGGUGCAAGCGUUGUCCGGAAUCACUGGGCGUAAAGGGCGCGUAGGCGGCUCGGCACGUCCGUUGUGAAAUCGCCCGGCUCAACUGGGCGGGGUCAGCGGAUACGGUCGAGCUUGAGCAAGCUAGGGGGCAAUGGAAUUCCCGGUGUAGUGGUGGAAUGCGUAGAUAUCGGGAGGAACACCAGUGGCGAAGGCGGUUGCCUGGGGGCUUUUGCUGACGCUGAUGCGCGAAAGCGUGGGGAGCGAGUCCGG
rnacentral:rRNA from 1 species